GGGGAAUGAAUUCCAGCAGGAACAGGGAGUCAGAUCACCAGCCAAAAAUAUUUGUGUCCAAAUGGUCCUGUGUGACCAGGCAGGUCCAGCGUGGACAUUGGAAACAGCGUCUGGGAUGCAGCAGAAGUAAUGUUCUGAGACUUCUGAGCCCAGGCCUUAAAGACCAUGGCAGCGUCUCCUUCUUGGAAGUCACCAGCUCCUCUCUGAGGCCUGAGCCCCAUGGAGAGGCCACAUGGAGGUAAACUGUGGCCCCUCGGCCAGCAGACCCCGCUGUACCCCCAGCGGCAGCCAACACCAGCCGCCAGCCACGUGGACGAGGCCACUGUGGAGCCCUCGGGGCAUCCCGGUGCCCCCAG